ACCUAUGGACGGGGAUAACCUCGGGAAACUGAGGAUAAACCCCGAUAGAUCAUUAUGCCUGGAACGGUUUAUGGUCCAAACGAUUCGUCGCCAUAGGAUGAGACUGCGGCCUAUCAGCUUGUUGGUGAGGUAAUGGCCCACCAAGGCUAUUACAGGUACGGGCUCUGAGAGGAGAAGCCCGGAGAUGGGUACUGAGACACGGACCCAGGCCCUAUGGGGCGCAGCAGGCGAGAAACCUUUGCAAUGUGCGCAAGCACGACAAGGUUAAUCCGAGUGUUUCCUGCUAAAGGAAUCUUUUGCUAGUCCUAAAAACACUAGUGAAUAAGGGGUGGGCAAGUUCUGGUGUCAGCCGCCGCGGUAAAACCAGCACCUCAAGUUGUCAGGAGGAUUAUUGGGCCUAAAGCAUCCGUAGCCUGCUCUGUAAGUUUCCGGUUAAAUCCAUUAGCUCAACUAAUGGGCUGCCGGAAAAACUGCAAAGCUAGGAAGUGGGAGAGGUAGACGGUACUCGGUAGGAAGGGGUAAAAUCCUUUGAUCUAUUGAUGACCACCAGUGGCGAAGGCGGUCUACCAGAACACGUUCGACGGUGAGGGAUGAAAGCUGGG
rnacentral:rRNA from 1 species